rnacentral:misc_RNA from 1 species
GGCACAACCAUACCAUAGGCUUUGACGGAGUUUUAAAUCAGUUAAAAUUGUAGUAUGACUAUUUCAAGGUGUCAUGGCCAAACUGUAACAGUAACAUCUGGCCAUAUUACAAUUGUCUUUCUUUGAGAAGCAGCAAAACUAUUCAAAUUCAUAAGUUUUAACACAUUUUCAAUUGAACAUAGAAUACUCUCAACCUCUACUAUCUACUAAGAAAAAGAUAACCUUUUAGUCAUAUUUGAUAUGCUAAAU